UACGGGGGGGGCAAGCGUUGUUCGGAAUUACUGGGCGUAAAGGGCUCGUAGGCGGCCAACUAAGUCAGACGUGAAAUCCCUCGGCUUAACCGGGGAACUGCGUCUGAUACUGGAUGGCUUGAGAUUGGGAGAGGGAUGCGGAAUUCCAGGUGUAGCGGUGAAAUGCGUAGAUAUCUGGAGGAACACCGGUGGCGAAGGCAGCAUCCUGGACCAACACUGACGCUGAGGAGCGAAAGCCAGGGGAGCAAACGGG
rnacentral:rRNA from 1 species